AGUCUUGCCUUUUCUAAGAUGCAACUAUUCAGGUUUUGUAAGUACUUAUUCCUUUUAAUAGUCAACAUAGGCUCAAACUAGUUUAUAUACAUUUUGUCUAUGUUAACUGGCUUUAAGUAACAGACCACUCCUGUUGCUAUCAAAAAACCUCUUUGUACACAUCAGUCAGAUGUAUGCUAGAAUGUAAAGUGUUCUAAAAAAUUACAGAAUCACAAGUAUCACUUUAAAUCAAGGUGAAGCAACAAUUUCACAUAAAGGCCUUUCUCAUUACAGACAUAAUAUGAGCUGACAUACAAAAAGUAAUUCAAACUCCAUAUAGCAAAAAGCUGACUAUGCAAGGAAAGCAUAAAAAGUUAACAUCUGUUUAAGAUCACAUGGCCAUAAAAUUUUGUACAACUGCUUCAUACAGGCAUUGAUAUGAAACAGUGUAAAGUUUUAAAGUUAUUCCUUGUUCAUCUUAUCAACACCGUGGUGUCACGACCCACAUAUCUUUGAUUAUUUUAAGGUUUCUGGAGAUUGUGCAUUCUGUCUGUUUUCACCUUUUUAUUAUUGCUUGUUAGUCUUAUUCUGGCAUUUCCUGUCAUCAUUUAGUAUUCUGCUCUUUAAAAUGGAGUUAAUUACUCUUGUUCCAGUUAGAUACUUAUUUUCCUGCCUGGCUUGGUUAGUGGAUUUAUUUUGUCAUAGUUUGUUCAUCUAUUUUGGUUUUGUAUUUUUGUUAGGUCCCAUGUUUCCUCCUUCUCUCUGACAUUUCAUUGCAUUCCUUCAGCUAAUCACUUAAUUGUCUCCCUAAUUGCUUCCACCUGCUCUCCUGCUUUAUCCUUUGUGCAUCCCCUCACUAUUUAAACCACUGUUUCCUCUCACUCUUUGCAGGUCAUCUGUUCUGGUUCUUGUCAUCGCGUGCCCCUCCCUAGUGAUGUCACAACUGCACUGCAUCGUGGGACACCUGGACAUCGGGAAACCAGCUUCUGUUUGUUUACACAGCCUUUAUCCACAAUGCUGUCUUUGUUUUCUUAAAAAGUUGAAAACGUGGUACAAAUGUGCUGUGUCAUUAACUCUCACACUCCUUCAUACGAUCGCUUUGGGAAAAAGAAGGAUGGAUUGAGAUUUUAAAUUUUACCAGCAUGGAAUCAAAGCAAAGGAGCUCAGAUUCCUGAACCAAAAAUAGGUGUCGAAUGGACUGUGGGUAAGAGCCACGAGAUUACCAAAACCUCACUAUCAACACUAUAUCCCGAUACAUGUGUGUUCACGACAUUUUCAGACUGGUAAGUUUGAAUCAACGCUUGUUGUUGCUGUUUUACAUUUACACUGCUAGUGUUAGUCUAGCCAGCUGAGGCUAGCAAAAAAGUGUGAGUAAAGGAGAGCCUGUACUUCCUCCAUGGCAUAGGAGAUUAAUUUAGACAUUACAUCACAAAUUGUCCUCAAUCCUUGACGUUAUCUGUGAUAUUUAAUUAUAAUUAGAGUAAUUUUAAAAGUAAUAAUGGGCAUUUGUGUGUCCAUUAUUGCCAUCAAAAUGUAGUUCAAAAAGUGUUUUUAAUACUUUAAUUUAGUGGCUCUACUCAAGUUGCUAAUUCAAGCAAUUUUCUUCUGUUCUUUCUCUGGGAUAAAGAGAAAGUUCAAAAAACGAGAAAUACAAUGAAUCAGAUAAACACAUUAACAUUACAAAUAUCUGUAAAAGUCAGUUGAAUUAUGUAAAUCUCUUAGGAAAUGUAACAACCAUAGCAAUAAAUGUUUGUUUAACCUGACAUGAAGAUUUUUUUUUCUUUUUUCAGCCUCAUAACUACAUUUUACUCUCUUUUUUGUAAAAGAGCAUUUUGUUUUUUGGCAUGUUAUGUUAACCUUUCCUUUAAGAUGUCUAUUAGCAGAGAGGAUGUGAUUUUUGUUGGAAAAAGACACUUCAGCGUGCAAAUUGCGUGAGUGUAAUCGACAGGGGACAGAGGUGGGUGAAGCCUGCAGGACUUGUUCUUGAUUCCUCUCCUGGCUGUUCUGAGACCCCAGUUAAGCCUUGUAAGAUCAGUUUGUCAACAGGGGAUUCCAGUCAUUUAAGCUGUGGUAGCCAGACGCCCACUUGUCUUAGUUAAGCGUUGUCUGUGACACACGCUUCUCCCUCCAGAAAUGGAAACUCUAUCAUUUAUCAAGUCCUAAUCAAAGACUGCUGUGUUGCAAUCAGUGUUUUCCAUCAGAAAGGCCAAAGAGGGGCCCCAAGGCCACAUUGUUGUUAUGUAGGGAGGCAAACAGAAACAAGUUUCCGUGAUCGGUUUCCAAAGCACCUGAAACAACCACAGUCUACAUGUCUGCCCAAACCUCCCCCAAACAUUAAGCCAAAACCACAACACUAAUGGAAAAUGUUAAUUAAUUGAUCAUUUAAAUUACUUUUUAUGUCCUUUUCUCACAGUUUGUAUCUAUUGAAUGACAUAUGAUUACAGAUAUGUAGCAUCUGUAAGUCUUGAGACUAAUUGUGUAUGACUUAGUCUUUUGAAUGCAAAAUAAAGGACAUUUCAUGGGCUUGA